CCGUUUGGUGAAUCUAGUGCCGAGAAAAGCCUUCUAUGUGUUGAAUUUCUAGUACCCGUACCCCAAACCGACACAGGUGGGUGGGUAGAGCAUACCUAGGGGCGCGUGAUAACUCUCUCAAAGGAACUCGGCAAAAUGGCCCUGUAACUUCGGGAUAAGGGGUGCCUGCGUGAGCAGGCCGCAGUGAAAUGGCUCUGGCGACCGUUUACCAAAAACACAGGUCUCUGCUAAGUCGUAAGACGAUGUAUAGGGGCUGACUCCUGCCCAGUGCCGGAAGGUUAAGGAAGUUGGUUAGCGCAAGCGAAGCUGGCGACCGAAGCCCCGGUGAACGGCGGCCGUAACAAUAACGGUCCUAAGGUAGCGAAAUUCCUUGUCGGGUAAGUUCCGACCCGCACGAAAGGAGUAACGAUCAGAGCGCUGUCUCGGAGAGAGACACGGCGAAAUAGGAUUGUCCGUGAAGAUACGGACUACCUGCACCCGGACAGAAAGACCCUAUGAAGCUUUACUGUAACUUGGAAUUGUGUUCGGACUUUGUCUGCGCAGAAUAGGUGGGAGGCUAUGAAACGUUCCUCGCGGGGAACUGGAGCCACCGUUGAGAUACCACUCUGGCAGAGUCUGGAUUCUAACCUACGGGGACAGUUCCAGGUGGGCAGUUUGACUGGGGCGGUCGCCUCCUAAAAUGUAACGGAGGCGCGCAAAGGUUCCCUCAGGCUGGUUGGAAAUCAGCCAUAGAGUGUAAAAGCAUAAGGGAGCUUGACUGUGAGACCUACAAGUCGAGCAGGGACGAAAGUCGGCUUUAGUGAUCCGACGGCACUGAGUGGAAGGGCCGUCGCUCAACGGAUAAAAGUUACUCUAAGGAUAACAGGCUGACCUCCCCCAAGAGUUCACAUCGACGGGGAGGUUUGGCACCUCGAUGUCGGCUCGUCGCAACCUGGGGCGGUAGUACGUCCCAAGGGUUGGGCUGUUCGCCCAUUAAAGCGGCACGUGAGCUGGGUUCAGAACGUCGUGAGACAGUUCGGUCCAUAUCCGGUGUAGGCGUAGGAGCAUUGAAAGGAUCUCUCCUUAGUACGAGAGGACCGGGAGGGACGUACCUCUGGUGUACCUGUUAUCGUGCCGACGGUAAACGCAGGGUAGCCAUGUACGGAGUGGAUAACCGCUGAAAGCAUCUAAGUGGGAAGCCCACCUUAAGAUGAGUGCUCCCUUGAGGCCACGGGAAGACGACCCGUUUGAUAGGCGCUAGGUGGAAGUGCAGUAAUGCAUGCAGCCGAGGCGUACUAAUAGGCCGAUGGC
rnacentral:rRNA from 1 species